UCCAGCCUGGGAGUCACGUUGUUGCCUGCACCCAGCCGCGUCAGUGCCCAGCAGGUGGAGUGGCCGUGCCGCACUGCCUGGGCGGGCACCUAGGAGGAGAUGAUGGGGAGCCACAGGGGACCUCUGGAAACACCCGGUUGUGCAUGGUGUGAACGGCGGCGUGGUCUUGCAGGGAGUCAGUCAUCCUUGUGCCAUCCUGAUGUUGACUCCUCCACGAGUUUCAUGGCUAAAGGGACCCUAAGCUGUUGUGUUUUAACAGCAGAUUGCUGCAGUCUGUUCCUCCCCUUUCAGAAAGUGACUGAUCUAUUUGCUGCCAGUAGAUCAGCAGUCAGAGCUCCUGUCAUGAAGAUUAGUGCCUCCAUUAAGAGGAUGUUGUGAUCGUUUAGAGGGAAUAACACCACUCACACACUACAACACGUAAAUGCUGGACCAGACUCACAGAGCUGACCUGCCAAUGCAAGGCUGAGGAUGCAGCAAAGCACAUGCAGAAGGACAGUGAAAAUAAAUGAGACCACUUUACCCAUAUAGAUAGAAUGAUUGAGUAUA